rnacentral:rRNA from 1 species
AACCCUCGCGCGAAAAUGAAAGUGAACGGAGGUGGGAGCCCAUUUUAGGGUGCACCAUCGACCGAUCCUGAUGUCUUCGGAUGGAUUUGAGUAUGAGCGUGGCUGUUGGGACCCGAAAGAUGGUGAACUUUGCAUGGAUAGGGUGAAGCCAGAGGAAACUCUGGUGGAGGCUCGCAGCGGUUCUGACGUGCAAAUCGAUCGUCAAAUCAGUGCAAAGGGGCGAAAGACUAAUCGAACCGUCUAGUAGCUGGUUCCUGCCGAAGUUUCCCUCAGGAUAGCAGUAACGAACCCAGUUUUAUGAGGUAGAGCGAAUGAUUAGAGGCCUUGGGGCUGAAACAGCCUUAACCUAUUCUCAAACUUCGAAUAUGUAAGAAGUCCUUGUUACUUAGUUGAACGUGGACGCUCGAAUGUACCGUUACUAGUGGGCCAUUUUUGGUAAGCAGAACUGGCGAUGCGGGAUGAACCGAACGCGAGGUUAAGGUGCCGGAAUGCACGCUCAUCAGACACCACAAAAGGUGUUAGUUCAUCUAGACAGCAGGACGGUGGCCAUGGAAGUCGGAACCCGCUAAGGAGUGUGUAACAACUCACCUGCCGAAUGAACUAGCCCUGAAAAUGGAUGGCGCUCAAGCGUGCUACCCAUACCUCGCCGCCGGGGCAGGAUCGAAGCCCCGGCGAGUAGGCAGG